rnacentral:RNase_P_RNA from 1 species
CGAGUGGAACAUACGGCGGCGGGGCGGCUUUGACCGCUCUGAGGGUGACCUCAGGGAAAGUGCAACAGAAAGGAAACCGCCGCAGCAAUGCGGUAAGGAUGAAAGGGCGAGGUAAGAGCUCACCAGCGCAUGGGUGACUAUGCGGCUUUGUAAACCCUACCGGAAGCAACGCCUAUAUGGGACGUACAGCGCUGCUCGCGUGUCCCGAAGGCGGCACGAGCCUGUCAGCAAUGGCAGGCCUAGACAGAUCGUCGUUUAAUACAGAACCCGGCUUACGGUCCAUCUCGUUUU